UACAGAGGGUGCGAGCGUUAAUCGGAAUUACUGGGCGUAAAGCGCGCGUAGGCGGCUUUGCAAGUCGGGUGUGAAAUCCCCAGGCUCAACCUGGGAACUGCAUUCGAGACUGCAUUGCUAGAGUAUGGGAGAGGGAAGUGGAAUUUCCGGUGUAGCGGUGAAAUGCGUAGAUAUCGGAAGGAACAUCAGUGGCGAAAGCGGCUUCCUGGUCCAGCACCGACGUUCAGGCACGAAAGCGUGGGGAGCAAACAGG
rnacentral:rRNA from 1 species